UCCGUUUAAUUUUGCAAACAA
rnacentral:piRNA from 1 species